CAUUUUUGAUGCUCUGUGCAUGCGUGGGCUCACAUUGCAACCAAACAGGUAGCAAAGGAUGACAUUCUCUUAGUAAUGUUGUCACAUAGCCAUUUCCUGAUUCUAUAUCACAAUAUGAGCAUGUGCAUACGCAGAGCGUCAAAAAUGGACGUGAUGAUGUGUGGGUGGGCAGGUGGAUGGAGCCUGCUACAGAGCACGCCUGCAAAGGUAAGCAAAUAGCAAGGGGGAGAAAUCCGCCGUGCCACAUGAUUUAGAUUAGCUAGAAAGCAGGAAAUCCUGCUGCCUAACUAAUAUACAUCGCGCAUCAUAGCUACGUUGGAAAAUCAUAGCAUUUUUUUUUACUACUAGUUCAGGUGAACCAGUCCCAGCCAGUAGCAUUUCACCACUGCUACAACCUCAUAUUAAUACUAAAUUAAAAAUUAACAUGAACAGAUAUUGAGUGCUUACUUUGUUGAAAUUGGUUUUUUUUCUAACCAGAACUUGUAUAUAUGGCACAAUUUUAGUUGUAACUAUUUAUUAACUAUACUGUUCGUUUACCCUAUAUGGUUUUAGAAUGUAUUUUCAUAUUCAUACGUUAACAUGUGAGUUCUCCUAGGAGGAUUUUAUUCUAAAAGUCAGAGUGCAAAUAUUUGAAUUAGACAUAAAUUGCUGCUUUUGCUUCCAAGGUUCCAAACAGUUCAAAAACUAAUCUGCCAAUUUUUAACACUUAUUGAAUGUCCAAUUUUUUAAAAAAGAAAAGUUAGUUUACGUAUUUGUUUGAGCUGAUACUUGAUGAAGAAAAGUGGAUAAUAAUUACAAUAGAUUAUAUUUAUUAUUGUAAGAAAAGUCAAACUUAUCUCCAGAAUCUGGUUUGUUGCAUGCACAGGCCAAUGUGUUUUCAAGUAUUCUAUGCCAAACUGUUUACAUGUUAUAUGUCAAAACAAAACUUGAACUUGUCUUGGUUACUAAGACGCCGCCCAGCAAAACAACUGUGCAUAUAGGAGCCAACAGGAACAGACAGAUAGA